GCUCACCCCUGUAAUGAGCCGCUCCGUUCUCUGCAAAGACCUCACAGAACUGAGCAGAAAUGUGCAUUGGUGUUUUUCAUUCGUGACCUCAGGCGUCCUCACAAACACGGGCAGGACUGUGCUGCAGAGCACAGAGCAAAGUUUUCCAGGGCAGGAGCUGUGGAAAGAGGCCCAGGACAGAAUCUCAGAUGUGUGAGCAGCCCUUCCAGGACACACAAGAUCCAGCUGGAGGUUUUGCUUAUGUCAGUUUGCUUUUUGGAGGUCUCCCAUGGCACACAGACCUCCAAAUCACAAGGGGAUGAGAAGGGAAGGCUCCACCUCCAUCCCCUCUCUGCUCUCUCAACCAGCAUCAAAUUCCAUCUGCUGCACUGGAGCCACCCGUGGUCAUAAUAGGGUUUCAGGGAGUGUUGCUUUGUGUCCUGGUGAUGCUCCAUCAGAGCUGCUCCGAGGAGACGCUCUGGCUGACACGCAGCUCCAGCCUUGGCUCCUGACACAGAAACAUUCCUGCCAAAUGCCUGGCCACUGAGUUCCUGCUCCCCAGCGCCAGCGACUCGCUCUUUGCAAGGUUGCCGUGCAUAAAGGAAAGGACACGAGAGGCUCUAGGACUCCU